rnacentral:rRNA from 1 species
GACGUAGGAGGCGAACGUUAUCCGGAAUUAUUGGGCGUAAAGGAUGCGUAGAUGGUGUGAUAAGUUAGCAGUGGUAAAUCGAGGCCCAACCUCGUGGAAACUGGUAAUACUAUUACACUUGAGGGUAGGAGAGGUUAACGGAACUCCCUGUGGAGCGGUGAAAUGCGUAGAUAUAGGGAAGAACACCAAUAAAGGCGAAGGCAGUUAACUAUUCUACUCCUGACAUUGAGGCAUGAAAGCGUGGGGAGCAAAACGG